CAGCCGUAAACUAUGCUCGCUAGGUGUCAGGCAUGGCGCGACCGUGUCUGGUGCCGCAGGGAAGCCGUGAAGCGAGCCACCUGGGAAGUACGGCCGCAAGGCUGAAACUUAAAGGAAUUGGCGGGGGGAGCACAACAACGGGUGGAGCCUGCGGUUUAAUUGGACUCAACGCCGGACAACUCACCGGGGACGACAGCAAUAUGUAGGCCAGGCUGAAGACCUUGCCUGAAUCGCUGAGAGGAGGUGCGGAUGGCGUAGACGUCU
rnacentral:rRNA from 1 species